UAACCUGUCCCAAACACUGAACACUCUACAACAUGUAUACUGUCCCCAAACACUGAACACUCUACAGCUCAGCAAGCUAUACCCGUCCCCAACACUGAAACUCUACACAGCUAUAACCUGUCCCAAACACUGAACACUCUACACAAGCUAGACCUGUCCCAAAACAAGAACCUCUAACAACAAGCUAUACCUGUCCCAACACUGAAACACUCUACACAAGCAUACGGUCCCCAAACACUGAAACACUCACACAAGCUAUACCUGUCCCAAACACUGAACACUCUAACAAGCAUAACCUUCCCAAACACUGAACACUCACACAGCUAUACCUGUCCCAAACACUGAAACAUCUACACAGCUAUACCUGUCCCAAACCUGAACUAACACUCUACACAAGCUAUACCUGUCCCAAACACUGAACACUCUACACAAGCUAUACCUGUCCCAAACACUGAACACUCUACACAAGCUAUAACUGUCCCAAACACUGAACCUCUACACAGCUAUAACUGUCCCAACACUGAACACUCUACACAGCUAUACGGUCCCAACACUGAAACACUCUACACAGCUAUACCUGUCCCAAAACACCUGAACAACUCU
rnacentral:lncRNA from 1 species